GAUGAACGCUGGCGGCGUGCCUAAUACAUGCAAGUCGAGCGAACAGAUGAGGAGCUUGCUCUUCUGACGUUAGCGGCGGACGGGUGAGUAACACGUGGAUAACCUACCUAUAAGACUGGGAUAACUUCGGGAAACCGGAACUAAUACCGGAUAAUAUAUUGAACCGCAUGGUUCAAUAGUGAAAGACGGGUUUGCUGUCAAUUAUAGAUGGAUCCGCGCCGCAUUAGCUAGUUGGUAAGGUAACGGCUUACCAAGGCAACGAUGCGUAGCCGAGAUGAGAGGGUGAACGGGCACACUGGAACUGAGACACGGUCCAGACUCCUACGGGAGGCAGCAGUAGGGAAUCGUCCGCAAUGGGCGAAAGCCUGACGGAGCAGUGCCGCGUGGGUGAUGAAGGUCUUCGGAUCGUAAAACUCUGUUAUUAGGGAAGAACAAAUGUGUAAGUAACUAUGCACGUCUUGACGGUACCUAAUCAGAAAGCCACGGCUAACUACGUG
rnacentral:rRNA from 1 species